AGGGGUACAGCUCAGUGGUAGAGAACAUGCUUAGCAUGGACAAGGUCCUGGGUUCAAUCCCAGUACCUCCA
rnacentral:tRNA from 1 species